AUUAGAUUUGUGCCAAUAGGAUCAAGAAAAACACUUUGGAGAGCAAACAAAUUUUAAGACACUGAGAGAAAAAACCUUGGUUUCAAAAGAAAAACUUACGAUCUGAAUCAGAUUCUUAAAAUGAUCAAGAAAAUCACUGUGACGGUCAAACAAAAAUUAAGAAAUUGACAGAACAAAAAUAUUGACUAAAGGAAAAAAGCAUGUUUCAAAAGUAAAACUUACUAUCUGAAUAAACUUCUUAAAAUGAGUAACAAAGUAUGUUUCCUUUUUCUGUUUGCCUCUAUGUGUUUUUGUUAUCAAUUUCCUUAGUUUUGUUCUCUCUGCUCAGAGCUUUGCUCUCACUUCCAGAUUUGCACUUACACUGUCUGGCUUUCUCCUUUGCAAUCCCUGAGUUUUUGGUUGCAAUUCUGACACAACCCUUUCGGGUGGGCGGGACUUCUGAGAAGUCCUCUCCCAUAGGACAGUGGUUUCUCUUGAGUGACAGUUCAGUGACCUGGAAGUGAUGUAGCCUCCAAGACAUUUUUUUCCCACCUGGUCAACAACAUGAAUUUUGAGCCCCAAACAGGUUAUUUCUGCUGUCUGUGGUGUCUACUGAGGAUCUAAAGAACCUGUGGAACAUCAGAGACUUUGCAGCUACUGGAGCUAACCUGUGUACUGCUAACUUGCUACAGAGGAAGCAGCAGAAAGCUGAGCUAACAGGCUGUUUUGCAGUGAAACGAAUGGAUUUUAUGAUGUAACUCUGACUGAAUAAUUAUCUAAAUUGAAAACUGCUGCAUUGCAUUACAAUGGAAGUGCUACACGGCCACAUGCUUCAAC